GAAAAAAAGACUUCUUUAUCCACUUUGAUAACCGGGUUUCUCCCAGAGCAGAGCUUGCAAAGGGACAGGAAAAUCUGGACUAGUUACCCAGCCCUGCCCCUCGUUCCUGCCUCGUUUCCCCCCUCCCCAGCGUUUCCAAUGGUCUCGCCCACUCCGCCCCUAGCGGGUCCUCACGGCCCGGGCGCUGGAGCUGAGGGCAGCGGGACGAUCUGACUCCCGGGCGGCGCUCUCCCUCCGGCGGAGCCCGGGAAGAGGAGGCGUGGAGCCCAGUUCUUUGCUUUCAUCUUGGAUUACGUCUCGUCUUCCCAGACCCUCCAGACUCCUGAUACAGACUUGUACAGGACACCAAACUACAGGCUUUUGACUGGAUCUUUCAGGACUCUGGUGCACAGACUGACUUUUGUACUCUUCUAUAUCUGACUCUGUGUGUGGCCAUGAAUCUACCUAAGGCCUACAUACCACAUGAUCAGCUGCCAGAGGAAGAGAAGGCUAGGACCUGACAGAUAAUUCUGCUUUAUUCAAGUACCACUCAAAAGUGGAUGACUGCAGCAUUACAGCCCCUUUCCAGGACAUCCCUGAAGGACAAUGGUGAAGGAAAAUUAUCACAUGGGUGUUGGGCGCAGGUGCUCAACAUACCAUACCCCACCCGGGACUAAGGACCACGCCAGCUUCCGCAAUGCGCUACGUCCCUCUCCAAAUUAGUCACCCCGUACUCACUUCGUAUUCACCACAGCUGAGUAUAUUAGCCAGAGCUCGCGUCUCAUUCCAGCACUUCCUCCUCGUGGCAGCCCUCGUGGCAGCCUGAUUGGCCACAGUCAGAUAUAUAAGCCAGAACCCGCAACAAUAAAGUGGACAGUUCCUGUUACCACCUGAA